rnacentral:ncRNA from 2 species
UCAACACCUCGCGGGAGCUCGCGCCACAGCGGGCUGAGAGGGCAGAUGGCGUCCAUCGUGACCCGGCUCUGCCGACCGCCUGAACCUGACCGGGUAAUGCCGGCGUAGGGAGGCUUUCAUGACAGCGC